ACGCAAAUAAUGAAAUUAAUUGAUAAUAUUCAGUCGGGGACAAAAAUAAGUGGACAGAUAUUAGAAAUAGAUAACGAUAAAGUUUAAUCGAAUUGAUAUGAUUGUUAUAUAUUCAAAUUUUAUUUAUUAUUUAUUUAUCAAGAUACAAAAAUAAGAGGACAAUUAGUUUAAAUGUUUUCGCAAGGCAACAAAUGUAUAAAAACAUCAGACACACAUCAUACUUAGAUGCAGUAAUCUCAAACAAACUUCUUAGUAUCAAUUCAGACUUUGUGAAAGUAAGGUAAUUUGUAAAAAAUUGCAGAAUGUCAAAAACUCAUGAAAUUUCGAUUCAAAUUCGCCGAUAAUUGUUUCCAAUUAAAUGAUCUUAUAUGUAAAUGACCUUAAUAAAGUAAGUUUCCAUGUGAUAGUACAAAAGUAUAAGGUAUCAAAAAGUACAGUGGAAAAAAUUUAUAAAAAAUACAUACAGAAUAAUACUGUAGAAAAUUUAAAAGAUCGUGGACGGAAACGCUCUACCACUGUACAUGAAGACUAUCGAAUUAUUCUCAAAUGACAACAAGAUCCGAUAAUUGCUUUAAGAUAUAUUGUUAUAUGUUAGGAUUAAACGUUUCCACAAAAACAAUAAAACGAAGACUGCACAAGCUGAAUUAAAAUUUUAUAAAGCUAUACGUAAACCACACAUUAAUAAAAAUAAUAUGAAAAAGUAUUUAACUUUUGCAAAAAAAAUAUGUAAAUAUGGCACUUUCAUUCUAGAAAAAUAUAAUAUGGAAUGAUGAAAGUAAAUUUGAAUUGCGGCAACUAAAAAAAGAACAUAUUGUCUGGAGAAAAAGAAGGGAAGCAUAUAAGAGAGCAUUUUAUUACGCCAACGAUUAAAUUUGACAGUGGAUCAUUGACAGUGUGGAAGUGCUUUUCCUUGAGUUGGUAUAUUGAUAAAUAUUGAUGGAAUAAUGAAUGCGGAUAAAUAUAUUAGCAUAUUGUAUACAAUUUUAGAAGAGGUAACAGUAAAAAUGGAUCUUGAGGAAGAAUUUGCCUUUCAAUAAGACAACUACCUCAAGCGUACAGUCUGGAAAACUAUGAAAUUUUUUCAAAAAUCAAAAGAAAAUUCCAUUGGAUCAACGAACUAAUAAGGAAGAUUUUUUUUAAAGUUUGCAAAUAAUAUUUGAACAUAUUAAUAAAAUUUAUAUAGAAAAUUUAAUUCAAAGUAUUCCAAGACGUUUGAAAUUAGUAAUUCAAGCAAAAGCCGGCAAUACCAAAUAUUAAUUUUAUUAUUUGUUUUAUUUAGUUCGCAUUGUUUUAUGCAUCCACUUAUUUUUAUUUCUCGAUAAAUAGCCAACAAUAUCGUUAAAUGUGACUUUUUUAUACACAAAUGUAAACGUUAACUUUUUAUUGAAUAAUGUAUAUACUAUAAGGAUACAUAAUAAAUAAAACUUGAGUAUAUAACA